rnacentral:lncRNA from 1 species
AACAAUUUACUUUGAUCCGGUGGAUUUGUCGACUCUAGCUGAGGCGACUCCAGUUACCAUCACGGUACCUGGACCAAUUCCGUAUGACAAAGAUGAUGUCGUGCCGUGGCAUUAUGGUGGGGAGGUAUAUUGCAAUGGAGAGAAGGUAGAAGAUCAGAUUGCUAGUGAAACCACCGUUUCGAAGGUGGAUAGUGUCGGACCUAGUGGUUUCACUCGCAGCAGAAGACUGUUUGCUCCUGAUGCGUUGAGGAGAGAAGAAGGAGAAAAAGAGAAAAAAGAAAAGGUCGAGGCUUUAGCCAGGGCAAAAGGAAAACAACAGGUAGUCAAUGAUGGUACUCCAGUGGUGACACCGGCGCCUGGAGGGUUGGAAGAGAAGCUUGAUGAUG